AUUGAACGCUGGCGGCAGGCCUAACACAUGCAAGUCGAGCGGAUGACGGGAGCUUGCUCCUUGAUUCAGCGGCGGACGGGUGAGUAAUGCCUAGGAAUCUGCCUGGUAGUGGGGGACAACGUUUCGAAAAGAACGCUAAUACCGCAUACGUCCUACGGGAGAAAGCAGGGGACCUUCGGGCCUUGCGCUAUCAGAUGAGCCUAGGUCGGAUUAGCUAGUUGGUGGGGUAAUGGCUCACCAAGGCGACGAUCCCUAACUGGUCUGAGAGGAUGAUCAGUCACACUGGAACUGAGACACGGUCCAGACUCCUACGGGAGGCAGCAGUGGGGAAUAUUGGACAAUGGGCGAAAGCCUGAUCCAGCCAUGCCGCGUGUGUGAAGAAGGUCUUCGGAUUGUAAAGCACUUUAAGUUGGGAGGAAGGGCAGUAAGUUAAUACCUUGCUGUUUUGACGUUACCGACAGAAUAAGCACCGGCUAACUCUGUGCCAGCAGCCGCGGUAA
rnacentral:rRNA from 1 species